GAAGCUGGUAGGCUUGUUUAGCCACUCAGAUUCUUCAGAACAUGAAGCAUCCUCCUCUGUGGCAAAAGAACCAAAACAAAGGUGAGAACUUUGCGCAAACCAAAACCUUGUGAAUCCAUGUAGCUAAUUAGCACCAAUUUAUAUGUAAUUGCUACUAUAUAUGAACGAGUCACUAAUCAGUCUUGAGAGUGUUCUUUUUUUUUUUUCCAGUGUCUUCUUACCUUUAAAACUAAGGGAUAUCUUCCUCACAGGGGAUGGUGAAUCCUCUUCGUCGAAGGCUGCAUCAAGAACUGAAACAGGACUCGGUUGUUCAAUGGUAACUUUCAGAGGUUUUAGGAACGGUCUGUCC
rnacentral:lncRNA from 1 species